rnacentral:lncRNA from 1 species
GUCAGGACACUUGGAGGGGAGAAAACUCAAGGGAGGGACUGAUUUCCCAGAGGACAAUCCAUUUUCCAGUGACCCUACUGUCCACAGUUGGGACAUGGCCUUGUAGGAAGCCCGAGAAAAGGGCAAGCUUUUGUUUAGUGGCCCAGAUUGCUGUAGUGAACCGUCCCUAGAUCAGUAUUUGAGAAAGAAAGAUGAAGGCAAACAGGCCCCUCAACACCUGCUACCUCAUGGAGGGGCUGAUAAAUUAUCAAGAUCUCAGAGAAUUUGGAUAUUGAAAGUACCCUCAGCUGGCCAGCAUAACCCAUUAUGGUAUGUACUGGGGCCACAUGGAAAUGGAGUAAAAGGGCAUUAAACUCAGGAACUUGCACUUGCAAGGCAGGCGUGGCACCAAUGAGAUGGCGGGUGGUGUUCCUGUCCAGGUUCUAUUACUUAUCUCCAAAUAACAGCCAACAUCCUGAUUUCUGAGAAGACAUAAAUCAGUCCAGAGCAACCGAGGACACAGAUUCUCCCCUGAAGCAUCUAAGAGGAAUGGAGCCUUGC